AUGGCCCUGCUGCACUCAGGCCGCGUCCUCUCCGGAGUGGCCACCGCUUUCCACCCGGGCCUUGACGCCAUAGCCUCUGCCAGAGCCAGCUUCUGGUGGGCGCAUGUGGAAAUGGGACCCCCAGAUCCUAUCCUGGGAGUCACCGAAGCCUACAAGAGAGACACCAACAGUAAAAAGAUGAACCUGGGAGUUGGUGCCUACCGGGAUGAUAAUGGAAAGCCUUACGUGCUCCCUAGCGUCCGGAAGGCAGAGGCUCAGAUUACUGCAAAAAAUUUGGACAAGGAGUACCUGCCCAUUGGGGGACUGGCUGAAUUUUGUAAGGCAUCUGCAGAGCUGGCUCUGGGUGAAAACAGCGAGGUGUUGAAGAGUGGCCGGUUUGUCACUGUGCAGACCAUUUCUGGAACUGGGGCCUUAAGAAUCGGAGCCAGUUUUCUGCAAAGAUUUUUUAAGUUCAGCCGAGAUGUGUAUCUCCCCAAACCAUCCUGGGGAAAUCACACUCCCAUCUUCAGGGAUGCUGGCAUGCAGCUACAAAGUUACCGAUACUACGACCCCAAGACUUGUGGUUUUGACUUCACAGGCGCCAUAGAGGACAUUUCAAAAAUUCCAGAGCAGAGUGUCCUCCUCCUGCAUGCCUGUGCUCACAACCCCACAGGAGUGGACCCUUGUCCUGAACAGUGGAAGGAAAUGGCAACAGUGGUAAAGAAAAAGAAUCUCUUCGCAUUCUUUGACGUGGCCUAUCAAGGAUUCGCCAGCGGUGAUGGAACAAGGAUGCCUGGGCUGUGCGUCACUUCAUUGACCAGGGCAUUAAUGUUUGUCUGUGCCAGUCAUACGCCAAAAAUAUGGGCUUAUACGGUGAGCGUGUGGGGGCUUUCACUGUGAUCUGCAAAGAUGCAGAGGAAGCCAAAAGGGUGGAGUCCCAAUUGAAGAUCUUGAUCCGUCCCAUGUAUUCCAACCCUCCUCUCAAUGGAGCCCGGAUUGCCUCUACCAUUCUGACAUCCCCAGAUUUACGAAAGCAAUGGUUGGAAGAAGUGAAAGGCAUGGCGGACAGUAUUAUUAGCAUGCGCACUCAGCUGGUCUCCAACCUCAAGAAGGAGGGCUCCUCCCAUAACUGGCAACACAUCACCCACCAGAUUGGCAUGUUUUGUUUCACAGGCUUAAAGCCUGAACAGGUGGAGCGGCUGACCAAGGAGUUCUCCAUCUAUAUGACAAAGGAUGGCCGCAUCUCUGUGGCAGGGGUCACCUCCGCCAAUGUGGGCUACCUUGCCCAAGCCAUUCACCAGGUCACCAAGUAAUUUCCCAGGUGCGAAGGAACAGAGAUAACCUUCCCAUCUUCAGCCUCUGCUGCUGUGAGACUCACAUGCAGGAUGAGGGGGUGAAUGGUGGU